AAUUCCAAUUGUGUUAUUUAAUUUUAAAGAGUCUUCCAAAGUUUCAAUUUCGUUUAGUUUCAUUCUAAUUGGAUUCUACUUUUGUUUUACCAAUAUCUUCCUGAAAGAGACUUUCUUAUUUUCCUUACAUUUUGUAGAAUUCCUAGAAGAGGAGGAUAUUUACAAUCUUCACUAGCCAUAGCUUGAAACAUCCAUCUGCAUCAGUAGAUGAUAGGAGACUUGAUAAUUCCAAUUGUGUUAUUUAAUUUUAAAGAGUCUUCCAAAGUUUCAAUUUAGUUUAGUUUCAUUCUAAUUGGAUUCUACUUUUGUUUUACCAAUAUCUUCCUGAAAGAGACUUUCUCAUUUUCCUUACAUUUUGUAGAAUUCCUAGAAGAGGAGGAUAUUUAUAAUCUUCACUAGCCAUAGCUUGAAACGUCCAUCUGCAUGGGUAGAUCAUAGGAGACUUGAUAAUUCCAAUUGUGUUAUUUAAUUUUAAAGUGUCUUCCAAAGUUUCAAUUUCGUUUAGUUUCAUUCUAAUUGGAUUCUACUUUUGUUUUACCAAUAUCUUCCUGAAAGAGACUUUCUCAUUUUCCUUACAUUUUGUAGAAUUCCUAGAAGAGGAGGAUAUUUAUAAUCUUCACUAGCCAUAGCUUGAAACGCCCAUCUGUAUCAGUAAAUGAUCUAGGAGACUAUAAUAAUUUGGAUUGGGUAUUUUCAAUCCCAAACUUGUUUGUUAUUUUGCUUCCAAUCGUCGAAUAUUUAAUUGUCUACCUUAUAUUCUAUAUUUUAGAAGCAAUUACUCGCAUCUGUCAUAUUUAAUAUGAAACAUAUGAAUUAAUGUAGAGAAGCAAAGAGUCAAGAAUAGAGGAGGUUGGAAGAAUACGAAAGUUGGAAAAACUAUUUAUCAUUGAUAAUACUCAUGAAUAUUUCUAGUAAGAAAUUAUAUACAAUAUCGCACCAUGUCACAUUUAUGCGAUUGCUAUUUCAACCACGUUGAAGUACAACUAAUCUGUACCUGUCUAAUCUACAGGUGAGACAAAAUAAUGUAAACACAACUUUUAUAUAUAUUUUACGAUACUAUACAUACAUAUACGACGCACACACGAUACGCAAAAUGUACUUACUGUAAUUUACUGUAAUUAUUUAAUGUAAUUAAGAUAAAAUACCGCCAUGCAAAUUAUUACAGUCGCCUCGAUAACUCAAAACUCAAGGAUAUCAAUUAGGAGUUAAGUUAUACACGGUGUGUCUAGAUUUCUCUUGAUUCUCUUCAGGGUAUUGGUCGGAAUGGCUGGUAUAUUUCAAGCACCGCGUAGCCAGGCUUCGAAAUGCAAACGAAACAUAUAGUUAUCGAUUAAACCAGCUCGCCACGUCCAGUUACAAAUCACUCACGCGACCGUGUGUAUAAUGAGCCACGCUGUGGGCAAACUACGCUCGUCGCUCGACUUAUGUUUAUUCCGUUAGCUGCGACGGUUACAUCAUAAACUCACGUAGGACGAAGCAGAACGAAGGGGAGAAACACGAAGAUGGAAGAACGACGAGGAACAGCGAAGGUAAGAAAGGGGUAGGAGAAAUUAACGAGAAAGUUGAUUCGCUUAUCUGGAAACGUGAUACGGAACGAUAUUUUUCAACAUUUUUCAUUUCUUUUUUUUUUUUUUUUUUUUUUUUAAACGCCAGUCACGAUACCAUGCGACGUAUAAUACAAUUCCUAUUAUUAUGGCGUAUCCCGUGUAAAUACGUCUAUUUUCGUAAGGGCGAGGACCAUUCUUAGCCUCGUACAGAACUUGAUAAUUGACACGGAUUAUCUGGCAGGCGAUCAGAGCCAAUGAAAACUUGGUACACGUGCAAAACAACGAUCGAGAACACGAUGCACAAGGGGUGGCGCAAGUAGCUCGGAAAAAUCAAAUCGUAACUUUAUUUCGGCUAAUUCGUGCUUGAUCUUAGCUUGGAUAAUAUCGUUACAAAGUUGAAAUUCUCCGUAUUGUUUGUUAUUAUGGUACUUGGAUUUAAAAAAUCACGUUCGUUUACGGUUUUGCGAUAUUUUUCUAGUCAGCUAAGAUGGAAGAACAUUUUGUAGCUAUUUUACACGCGGAUAUGUUCGAACGUUAAUGCCGAAAGAUAGAAAUAUUGGCGCAAAAGGAGGAUGGAAAACACGACGCAAAGGCUGGUAGAAGUAGCUUGGAAAAAUUAAAUCAAACCUUUAUUCCAGGUAAUUUAUGCUUGAUUCUACCUUGGAUAAUUUUAUUAUGAAGUUCAAGUUCUCCCUCCACAUUCCUUCUUUUAUUAUUAAUACACGUACUACGCCUGGACGAAAAAAAGAUCACUUUUACGGUUUAAUUAUAUUUUUGUUGUUAAUUAAGACGAAGGAACAGUUUCUAGGGAUUUUAAGCGUAGAUACGUCAAAUAUUAAUGCAAGAACAGAGAUUUAAUAUUAGAGGCGAUUUCAAUUUUCCAGAAAAUUAUUUCCAUCCUACAUAUGUGUACUAUACCGUGCUUCUCAAAAUUAAAUAAAAAUCGUCUACCCUUUACUUUCCCGUUUCUCAUCGCACAGUAGCCCAUGGUUGUACGAACUUGCGAACAAAAUUAUGUUAUACAGCUUGUCACAAACCGAUGACUAAAUAUCGGCGCGAUUUUCUUCAGUUUUCAGACGUCGAAUAAGACAUUUUGCAUAAACAAGUACCUUAACAAUUUUCAGUUUGAUACUUUUAAAAAUUCAUGGAAUAAUUUCUCGCAGGAAAAUACAAAAAUCGAGGCUCGUGCUUGCGGACAAUUUAUUUCACGGAAGACCGUGACAUUGCCAUGAAGUACCAUUAUAGUCGGCGGGAAAACACUUUUGCAGCCCUUCGCUGCUCACAAAUUGGGAAUCCAGGGCGCAGAGUUAGGCAAUCGGUGCCGGAUUGAAUCCGCAGCCCUCGGAUAAUACGACCGCGUCGCUGUAUAAAUUCCUCUUCGUCUCGCAUCUCGAGAGUCAGCAAUGUACCGUUGGAUCGCCACGGCGGAAUAAGAAGACCAGCGAUUAGGAGCCGGUGGCAUCGCGAGAUUCGCAGUUCGCCUUGUCUCGUAAUCGAAAUCCACCCCACGUGGCUCAUCGAAUUGCCGAUUUUUCGAGGCUAAUCCUUCCGCAGGAAAUGGGACGUGGUUGACGAUCCGGGCUUCCAACAGGAUCGCAGCGACACUUAAUCCUCUUGCACGGAGAAUAAAAGGAUAGGGGAGUGUGUGUUUUUGUGUUUGCGCGUGUGUCUGUCUGUCUGUCUACGGGUUUAUCUGCUGUCUGCCAUCUUCUCACAUUAUAAUUGCGCGUUGCGAAAUUUUUACGUAAGCACACGGACGAAAUCGUUCUGUCGCAGCCGACCAUUUCACGGAGUUUGUAUCAGAGACGCAAAAUGACGUCUCUUUGCAAGCGAACGACUCAGCAAAAAUGAACUUUCAUUUAGACGGAGCCGAUUCGUCGAUAAAUCCGAAAGAAAUUUAGAAAGCAAGCCAAACGAUUAAGAAAUGUUCGUUUCCAAUUGCUCCGGUUUCGAGUAACUGUGUUACGAACGAUUGCGAUGUUUUUCGGCUACCAGUGACUAUAUUAUCGAUGAUAGUAAUUGCUACAGAUAACUGGAAUUUUCCUCGGUUACCUCGCUAACCAUUGUCUAUAGGGCGAAUUUUUAUUUUGCAUAAUAAUAAGCACUGUGUUUGUUUGGCUGUCGCUAACCAACGUUGAUUCGACAAGGAUUUUUCCCGGUUACAUGUUCAUCGGUGUUCAUUGACAACGUAGGAAAGAUUAAUUACAAAAGCUGUGUACUUUAUAAACGAAAAAAACGACAUGAAAAUAUAGGAAAGAGAGAAGAGAAUAAGAGACAUCGUAGUGGAAUAUUAAGGCGAGAUAAAACUGUCGUAGUGCAAUUACAUCUUCUUCUUUGUUUUAUUUAUCUUAAUCCGUUGUUUCACGUAUUUUCGUAUCGUUGUUCCGCUUAAUAAAAUAUAGUAGUUUUCUAAUUAACUGGCUUCACGUUGUCAACGAAUACGUAUGCUAACCAUCGGUAAUGUUAAUAAUAAUCGACAACGGUCGACUGCAGAACGAGAAAAAAUUUUUGCCAUCGAUAAUGGUUAUCGGUGAACAAAAUAAAAUUCCAGUCAUCGUUACUGCGGUAAGCAAAAAAGAUUUCGGUCAUUUAUAUUGGUUACUGGUAACCGAAAUCAAAUUCCCGUCAUCGAUAAUGGUUAUUCGUAACCAAAAUAAAAUUCCCGUCAUCGAUAACGAUUACCGGUAAUCAAAAAGGCUUUAAUCAUUUAUGACGGUUAUUCGCAAGUAAAAUUUCCUUAAUUAAGGAUAAUUAACUCUUGUACCAUAAUUUUUUAAAUUUAUCUUAUGGCGGUUACGAUGCCUGUUUUGUAUUCCUCUUUUGUCCUCGUCUAUUUAUUUAUUUGUUUAUUUAUUUAUAUGUUUAGCGUUUAAUAAAAUCAUUAACGAGAAAAAAAAGAAAAAUAAACGCGGGAACAUGGAUAAUUUAUUAUUAUAGUGUUUGCGGGAUUAAAUAGUAUUUAUUAGUUAAUUACAUGAAGUCGAGGAGCUUUGUUUGUUUAUGAAAUUUGUUCCGUAUUCCUCUUUUGUCCUCGUCUAUUUAUUUAUUUAUUUAUAUGUUUAGCGUUUGAUAAGAUCAAUAGCGAGAAAAAAAAGCAAAAUAAACGCGGGAACACGGAUAAUUUAUUAUUAUAGUAUUUGCAGGAUUAAAUGAUGUUUAUUAGUUAAUUACACAAAAUCAAGGAGCUUCAUUUGUUUAGAAAACAAUUAUAUCAACAACAUAUACAAGUGUACAUAUAUAUACACUUCUUGUGUACAAAGUGCAGAACUAAUUUCUUUCAGAUUUUUCCUAAACUAAAAAUAAACUAAUUCCUCGACAACAGCUUCUUGCUAUAUAUGUGCCCAGUACAAUAAGCUUGAACAGCCUUACAGAAAACACCUACAGACGUAGGUGAAAAAUGUAUUUAUUCUAAAAUUGUUAUAUCAAAUCGCCGAAUGUUAUUAUUUUAAUGCGCGUGUUACAGAGGAAAACUGAUGAAAAACGCUGGGUUGCAUCUGUUUUCAACACGUUUGCCAAACGAAUUUUUCGGUCUUUGCGUCGAUACCGCGCAUCAUCGUAGUUCGCCACGUUCACUGCGUUUCUACGUUCCCUUUGAACCCGACUUAAUUUCUGUUACAGGGGUAUUACGCCGAGGCCAUUAACUCGCCUCGUGUAACUAUUAACUUCCGGCGGAUCUGAAUGCCACACACAUUUAUAAUAAUUCUUCUGCGCUAAAAAUGACUGCCAAGUAACGAAUCAAUGUUGCGUUUAUACGUACACCUACACGUACGCAUAUACGCGAGAAUAAAUCUGGCUUCUACGUGACUAAGUGACUCGCUGUAGAAAGCGCGUGCAUUUAUCAAAAUGAUAGCGCGCCGAAGGAUGGGCGCGCCAACGUUCUUCGAAUUUCUCAAUCAGCGUAAAGAGCUCGAUGAAGCCCGACGAAGAACGAAAAGUCUGCCGGGGGACCGAUAUUUUCAAUUUUUCGGAAAAGAUCGAGUCGCUGUUCCCUGUCGUACGAAUAAUUGUGCCAUUAAAGGGUUGGAUUUAAAACGCUUAAAAGUUGGUUGUGUCAAGGCAGUGAUCAAGUUUUGGUAAACAUAGAAAUAGGGAAUUCUACUUUUAAAAAGCUGAACUCGCCAUUAACAAUAGAACCACCGAUAGUCAAUACGAAGCUAUUUCUACCAAAAGCAGUGAAAGUCACUGGUCUUUAAAAAAUACCUAACAAUGGAAUAUUUUUAUAUUUAUUGGUUUAUUACUUUCUUACGGAAGCAACUCCAUGUUAUGUAGUACAUUUUUGGUAUUUUUAAUCCAUCUGGGACUAUGAUCCCUAAACGAGGAUUGACACAUUUGUACAAAAAUUGUAGAACCAGUCGUUUUGACUGCUGUGGCGUUUCCAGCGUUAGCAUCUAGCGAUCCAGCGAUCGAUCCGGAAUUCUCCUGUUAACUGAUACGCGGUGGAAAUUAGAAAAACGUGUGUCAAGUUGUAGACAACGAGAAAACUGGUUAAUUGGGGUCCGAUAAACAGAGUGCAGGACUCCUGUACACUUUGACAAGUACCAGUCAUUUCGACUGCUAUUGGUACAAGUAGCCUUGAUACAAAUGUAACAAAUUUGAAUUUAGUUUGAAAAUAAAUUAAAUUAAUUAAUAAAUUAAAUAUGAGAAUAAAUUUGUAAACCCAGUCGAUUGGACUGGUGUGGUAGUUCUAGUGUUAAACAUCGUGCAAGAUGUCAAGAGAUCGUUCGUCCCUGUAAUUCGAAAACUAAUUCGACAAUAUUUGGCGAACAGCAAAAUAUCGUAUUUUAUACAGAAACUUUGCUGUUUUCUUCCGUGUUUUCGCGAGAAUCGUAUUAUUGAAAGAAUUUAAAUGCAACAACGAUCAGAUCGAUUUCGAUUCUUAAAACAGUACAGCAACAGCUUUAGCCCAGAAAUUCGAACGAAUUACACAGAUUACCAUACAAACAUGAUUUUUAUCCCACACAACAUAGGCUUUUCAUUUUCUAUUCUUAUCGCGAGAAAUAAAAAUUUCUACUUUGGUCACGGCUCCUAUAUUUCUCUAAUUUUCUUGCUUCCAAAAAUUGUUAAAUAGAUUCUUCUUGUAAUGGAUUCUAAAAUAGACUGCUGCAUGCAGCACUCUGCAGUCAUUGAAAUUUUAUAUUCCGUAGACUGUAAUAAAAUUCAUUCUUUAUAUUCCAUUUAUACGUCUCUAUCCUACAGCUAUUUAAAUCCUUCGCGGUUCAUCAAUUAUUAUAGGUACAUUUUACUUAUAAUUACAGUUAUUUACACGUUUAUUAUUCUUCCUUUUGUUCAUCCAACUGUAUGUAAAUUCUUACAUUAUCCGAUCAAUCAGUUUCUCAAUUUUCGUUAAUAGAAGAAUCUACAUAAAGUCAGACGAACGAAAAAAAUAAAAAAGGAUGAACGUGGAAUUUUAAAUUAAAUUUCGAAUGUUAUUAUUUCAUUGUUGAAUUAAUCGCCGACUAAAAAUACUCAUACGUUACGGAGUAUCUUUAAUGGAUGUAAAAUAUUUGCACGAACUUCUGCCAGAUUACAACCAACCUUCCCAUUCUACCGUGAACCCUUUGGGAGACAAACAGUCCAUAUAACUGGAGUUCAUGCAGUUUACUGAUUUACUAUCUGCGAUUUCUCAUUCAAAUAAUAAAACGUUCGCAUAGGCAAAGUAAGGAGAUUGAAUCAACAGGACUUUGCUUAGUUUGGAGGCCGACUAAGAGGUCGAAUAAAAAAUCCAGAAUGCUGGAAACAUACGAAAUGUUGAGAUUUUUCGAAUAGAAUAUCAGAAACGUUUAUUUCCAAAAGAAGAUAUUCUGUUGCAACAAAUUUUCGCCGAAGGAUCAAAAGAAGCUUGAAAAGUGCUGCUCCGAAAAUGUCAAGUUUCCCUCUCGCAUUUCCAUGCCCGAUUCAAAUUCCACAGAUUUGAAGUUCCUCCGGCUACUUUCAGACAUCGUCGCAUCCAACGACCGAUUAAAAUCUCGAGGAAUAAAAUCGUUUCAAGCGGUGGAACUAAUUGUACGUUUACGGCGCAACUACAAUUUCGUUAGUUUCAGGUUGCCCUAGCGAGAAUUUUUAAUUUCCGCGCGGCAAAAAAUUCCAAUCUGCCUGUUCCGCGAGAUCGCAAUCGCAGAAAUUUCCAAAACCUCCGACAAACGCGCUCUACGAAAAUUCGCAGAAGGGAAAUUUCUAUCCGCUAGAUUUUUCGUUUCUCGUCGAACCUAGAAAACGUGGUUCGCAUAGUCCGGAUGACUUGGAGGCGCGGUCACCGGGUCCCCUUCGGCUCGUUGUGUCUAAAAAUGAAGCAACUGGUCCUGCCACGUUCUGAAAUAGGCCGAUUCCUAGGACAGCUGCGGGCUACAGAAUGCAGCAUAGAAGCGGACAUAGAACGAGAAAGGAAGAAUAAAGUAAAAGAGAGAGAGAGAGAGAGGAAGGUAGAGGGAAAGAGGAGGUGAAAAAGAAGGAGAAGAGAAGAUUCACCGUUAGAAUCGAAACGAUACGCGACCACGGUGGUCCAGCGAUACGAUUCCACCACCAAUCACACGAUUUAGGGUCGUCGAAAGUGCUCGAAAUUUCCGUGGUCGCGCCUAACGUACGUACGCGACAGGAUACUUCGAUAUUCUUUCGCAAGCGGCGACUUUUCGUUAUCGUCCGUAAGAAAAGCCAUUACAAGCGACCGGUUCUUCGAAACGAAACAAGAAGUGCAAGUUGCGGCGGAUCAACCGGCCACAGAACGAUACGGCGAGGACAAUUAGUAGCCUUGCGAGGAUGUUGCUCGUUCGUUUCGGGAUCGAGAUAAGAUUUAACAUCUGAACUAUGUAUAUACAGGGUGGUUGGAAACUGGCGGUACAAGCGGAAAGGGGGUGGUUCUACGCGAAAUAAAAUUUUUUUUUUUAAUUUCUCCAUCGAGACAACGAUUUUCGACUUCUUUUUCUCGACACCCUGUAUAUAUAUACAGAUCGAAUAACACGUAAAAGGGGGCAGGACGCGAUUCCGUAUGGAAAAAUAAGAAAAUAAGGUGGAAUAAAAUUUUCUCGGUUUCAACUUAGUUUUCGAGAAAAUCGAGUUCGAAAACCUGUGGAAUAAGCUCAAGUAUAUGAAAUAUAUGAACAUGGCUAAUUACCGAGUGGAUACGAGCAAUAGGAUAUCAUCGUAGAAGCGAAAACAAGCAACAAAUAUAAGAUAGAAUUUUUCCGUUUACGACUUUAUCUUCGAGAAAAUUCGACACUCGAACGUGUUCGGUUGAGAAUCGAUCUGCUACUUGCACGCCUAUGAUAAAUUGUCAAAUUUAUUUUUUCGGAAGCGAGGAGUCUUGAGAAAAAAUUCUAUUCCACGUUCUCGCCUUAUUUUUACGAUGUAGAGUGACGUGCUGUCGAUCAUUUAGUCCCGUCCAGUCCAGGUUUCGUCAUGUUCGCGUAUACUUGAUAAAUAUUCAAAGUCGAUUUUCUAGAGAAUUAAGCCGACGAUGGAAACACCUUAUUCUAUACCUUUUCCCUAUUUUUCCACAAGCAUAAUUGCAUAUUAGUUGGUUCAUUUAUUUGCAUAAUAAUAAUAAUUAUUCGCUACAUACGUUGUCAACAAUUAAUUAAUUCUUUUUUUAAUAACGUUGACCACAAAUUGUCAACGAGACUUUGAACUUAACAGCCUCUAUUUUAUAAGAAAAAUUCUACUCAAAAAUCAUUUUGGAUUUCAAUCAAAAAAUGAUAAUAAUAAUGAUGAUAUAAUUAAAAAGAAAAUUAAACGUUCGACUUCUAUUGUGCUCGGUAUUUACUUCGCCCCGAUGAAUUAUUCAAAAGUUGUUUUAGUUGGUAUAAUUUGUCAGAAGUUAGUAAUCUAGGAUAACAUUGAAAUCCAUUAACGCAAGACCUAUGUCGGUCAGCUUCGCGCUGCUAUCUGUACUAAUUCAUCUUAUUGUUCGAAAAGUUACUUUUACCUGAGCAAUCCAUCAUGUGGCAACGUCUCAGGUACCAACGAUUCAACAGUGCGUGGCUAUAUCAAUUGUAAGAAAAAUCUACGUCCCUCGUUGCCACAUUACACGCUGUUGUUUUCAAGUUAGAGUUUGCCAAUUAUCCGGCGAAAAUGAACUGUCUAAUUCUGCGUAUCGCAGCCUGACGAUCUAAUCCAUUAAAUACGAGUGUCCAUUUCAACUACCUGAAAAAUCCACAAAGAAAGGAGAGCAAAUCCCAGGUGACCUGAAGUCAUAACUUUGCCAAUUAUCAGGAGGAAAUCAAUUUUUAAAUUCUGAAUGUUAAAAGAAAGACGGUGACGGUCUGACCUGGUCUGAGACCCAAACCGAUGAUCUAACCAAUUAAACAUGUAAGUCGCUUAAAGCCGGCUGAAAAAUUCAGGGAAAAGGAGGAUGCACCUGAACGAACAGGAAACGAGAAAGCAGAUUGACGGCCUCGACCUGUAAUUUGGAAAUUAUUGGAACAAAAGGAAUUUUGUAAUUUUCUAUACAUCGAAAGAAGGACGUUAAGAAUCGACGGAAAAGGAAGAUGCAUCUAAAGCUGAGACAAACGCGGAGAUCAACGAUGCCAUCCACGCGGUGCAAGGACCGAAAUAUCAAAAAGUGAAUAUAGGCUUUUCGACGAAAAAGAUACCAGUGACCAGUUGAGAUUAAAAAGAACGCAUUUGCGGUAUAAAUAGCAUGCCGCUAGAAAGUGUGCAACUUUCUUCUAAGAAGCUUUUCAUACGAAGAAUGCAGAUGUUCAAGAGAUUCUGAGGAUCCUAAAGCUACGUCAGAAAUCCGCAAAAGGAGCGAUAGGCCAAGAAGGACACGUGAUAGCACGGAGAUGCCAGACGCGCAAGGAUCGAAAUCCCAGGUGACCUCUGGGUGGAGCCCAUUUUUCUACUCGCACGGUGACGAGAGAUGCACAGGCGGACACGGUGUUUCUGGUUCACGGUCGAGUCACAAAGUGGCCGGUUUAACUUUUAAAUGGAGUGCAGGGCGAGGCAGUGACGGACCCGAGGAAGGGAUAGGCAACAGAGAACGAAGCUACCAGGCAGAGGGAAAACUGUGCGACUCGAACUCGGUGCAAGUAGGCAUGGCUUCCUGUUGGCAGCCGAUGCGUGACGCCCACACCAGUCAUCUAGCUUCUUGCAAACGCGCCGGCGAAACCACCGGCCUCUGGCAUUUCUCCUGUCCGCUGACGGGAUCAUCGAAGGCACGCUGACGCGUCCUGAGAUCGGUUCUUCGUCCACGCGUAACGCGUGUGCCGGUCUACGUCCUGUUUCUGUCGAUGCUACAUCCUCGUGAAAACGUAUGGAACCGUUAACGGUGGCGCGGCAUUUCCGUACGGUAGGUGCGGUUCAGCAACAGUCGUGCGACCGUUUUACUGUUAGACCAGGCCACCACGUUGUAAUUAUCAAUCGUUCGCGUUUAUUUUUCGCGGGCAAAAAACUGUUUCCUCCGAUACGCGGCCGGCUACCUCGUCAGCCUGGAAUUAUUUCGAUCCGCCGGUCAGAUAAUGUUUAAUUUUAAUUUUUAAUUCGAACACGCCGGGUUCAGCGAUGCUGCGCUCUCUCGACUGGAACGCACGCCAGCCCGUGAAUCCAAGCAAAUUGGAAAUAUACUUUCGUACGGCGGAAGAGUCGUUCGGAGGACCGCGCUUGAAGAUCGCUCGCUCGCAAAUGUUGGCCGGUUGCACGCGCAAUGAUAACUUGACGAUUCCUUUCGGAGAAUGGCACUCACGGUCUUUGUAUCGUUCUUUUUCCUGCAAUUCUAAUUCACACGGGGUCUCUGUGAGCAGAUUACGCGCCACUAUGUUACGUGAUCGAUCGUCAGAUAUUUUUUUUUUUUAUUUAUCGAUAUUUGAACUUUUUUUCUCAACAGAUUGGGAUUACAACAGGGUCGUAGAAGACGAGGGGCAAUAGGAGUAACGUAAGACGCGCGUAAAUCUGUGCAGGUUGAUAUUAAUGCGGAUUAUCAGGAUAAAUGCAUGUAGCUGUACUGAUAUCGUGUAUCGUAAUUUAAUUUUCUACUGUCUCCUCGUUCUUUCUCCUGCAAUUCUAAUUCACACGGGUCUCUGUGAGCAGAUUAAUGCCGCUAUGUUACGUGAUCGAUCGUCAGAUAUUUUUUCUCUAUUUAUCGAUAUUUGAAUAUAUAGAUCUUUGAAGGUUGAUAUUAAUGCGGAUUAUCAGGAUAAAUAAAUUAGGAUAAAAAUAAAAUCAGGAUAAAUUCACACAGGUCUCUGUGAGCGGAUUAAUGCCACUAUGUUACGUGAUCGAUCGUCAGAUAUUUUUUCUUUAUUUAUCGAUAUUUGAACUUUUUUCUCAACAGAUUGAGAUUACAACAGGGUCGUAGAAGACGAGGGGCAAUACGAGUAACGUAAGACGCGCGUAGAUCUGUGCAGGCUGAUAUUAAUGCGGAUUAUCAGGAUAAAUAAAUUGGGAUAAAAAUAAAAUCAGGAUAAAUGCAGGUAGUUGUACUAUGUAAUAUCGUUAUUGUACUGGUAUCGUGUAUCGGUAUUGUAAUUUAAUUUUCUACUCUUUCCUCGUUUUUCCUCCAGCAAUUAUAACUCACACAGGUCUCUGUGAGGAGAUUACGUGCCACUAUAUUACACUAUACUACGUGAUCGAAUAUCAGAUAUUUUCCAACAGAUUAUAAUUACAACAGGGUUGUAGUAGAUAACGGGUAAUACGAGUAAUAUAAGACGCAUGUAGAUCUAUACAGGUUGAUAUUAAUGUGCAUUAUGAGGAUAAAUGCAGGUGCUUGCAUGUAUAGCUAAUAGAGUUUACCUUAAGUUAUAAUUAUCAUUAUGCUUUAACGUGCACGUGUUUUUGUUUAUGCGCACGUUUUACGAUUAUUGUUCUGAUUUAUUUCCUAUGUGCAACUGCGAGUGACCGCAGAGCUGUAAGGCAGGUCAAAAUACACGAUACGAUCAUGAUUCUAAUUACUCAUUAUGUUCUUAUGAUUAGUUUACUAGUAUACUCUUUCAACUAUCCUUCAUACUAUGCUUCUUGUAUCAUCUGUAUAGUCGCAAGAUAGUAGCUGCACAUAUUUUACAAGAAUGAAACGCUGUAUGCCUGUGUGCCACAUUGUUACGCCACUUUGUGCUCGCUUAUCUGCUAUAUUUCUUACACUAUACAUUUACAACAUUACAUAACACGUCGUUGCUCUUGAGUCAACGGAAGACUCACGCUCUUUUGUGCCUUGGAAUACCAACGUUGUUUUCGUUUGCUAGAUACCAUCGCCGUUGUUUUUGAUCGCCAACCGGAGUUACAUCUGAACUUUUCAUAACAACACCGGUCGAUACAAAUAAACGAACGUGUUCUCUAGGACAGUUAUCAUAGCGAGUCAGAUAGUCGAGCAGAGGAGCGUACGGUCGAACAGUAGCAUUGAGCGAGCAACGACUACGACAUACACUAUCUCUGCACUUGUAUUUGCGAUGAUUUUAAUAUAAUCGACUAUUAUCAUUUUCAUAUCACUCGUCUCUUUAAUAAACCAACCAACACCUUUAAUAUCCAUCUGACUGUUAUACAAUUUUUAAGGAAUUGAAUGAGGUUACAGGGCUACUACGAUACGUUUGCACGAUAAGAUAUUCGCACGAAUGAAAUACAAUUUGCAGAAUUUGUUAAUUCAUUUAGUUCUCUGACUCGAUCGUUUGCACUUGGUUUAUUUUAAUAUGCAUUUUCGUUGGGAAUUUGAUGGAUCCUUUGGAAGGAGAAAUAUUUUAUUCGAUAUCCUAGUUAGUGGCCGGUUAACCGAAUUUCUGCGGAUUAAAUUCACUUAUCUAAACGUGAACUCCUAUUAUUUGAAUGAGAAAUUGUAGGUAGCAGGCAGAGUCAGUAAACUUUCAUUAUAUGAAUUCUAGUUACAACGAACAGCAUAACCGAACGAAUUAUUCUCGAAUAUAUCAAGCCACUGGCGAAUAACGAAAUGCUACUGAUUUGAAACAAUUGAAUUCUACUUAAUUAAUUUUCAUAGCAAAAGGAAAUAGUUCGUAGAAAUCUUAUAAUUGUUUGGUAUUCACUAUAAUAGAAUCUAUAUAUCGUUAUAAUAUAAUAAUAAUAAUAAUAAUAAUAAUAAUAAUAAAUGACGAAAGUAUUAGAACAUGUGAACGUUCAUAUUUAGAGAUAUGCAUACAAGAAAAUUUGAUGAAAAUUUGGAAAUUUACAUAGAAAUUACAAGACAUUUAUCACAUUCUAAACAACCAAUUGCACGUUACAAUUGCAUAUUUAGAAAUAUUUAAAACGUUACAUUAGUGGGCCUCGAUAUUUAGCGCUAAUUAUACGUUCAAAUUAUUCAUUUAAAAAUACAAAUACAAAUUUGAAAAUUUACAUAGAAAUUACAAGACAUUUGUCGCAUUCUAAACAACCAAUUGCACGUUACAAUUGCAUAUUUAGAAAUAUUUAAAACGUUACAUUAGUGGGCCUCGAUAUUUAGCGCUAAUUAUACGUUCAAAUUAUUCACUUAAAAAUACAAAUAUAAAUUUGAAAAUUUACAUAGAAAUUACAAGACAUUUGUCGCAUUCUAAACAACCAAUUGCACGUUACAAUUGCAUAUUUAAAAAUAUUUAAAACGUUACAUUAGUGGGCCUCGAUAUUUAACGCUAAUUAUACGUUCAAAUUAUUCAUUUAAAAAUACAAAUACAAAUUUGAAAAUUUACAUAGAAAUUACAAGACAUUUGUCGCAUUCUAAACAACCAAUUGCACGUUACAAUUGCAUAUUUAGAAAUAUUUAAAACGUUACAUUAGUGGGCCUCGAUAUUUAGCGCUAAUUAUACAUUCAAAUUAUUCAUUUAAAAAUACAAAUUUGAAAAUUUACAUAGAAAUUACAAGACAUUUAUCACAUUCUAAACAACCAAUUGCACGUUCCAAUUGCAUAUUUAGAAAUAUUUAAAACGUUACAUUAGUGGGCCUCGAUAUUUAGCGCUAAUUAUACGUUCAAAUUAUUCACUUAAAAAUACAAAUAUAAAUUUGAAAAUUUACAUAGAAAUUACAAGACAUUUAUCACAUUCUAAACAACCAAUUGCACGUUCCAAUUGCAUAUUUAGAAAUAUUUAAAACGUUACAUUAGUGGGCCUCGAUAUUUGGCGCUAAUUAUACGUUCAAAUUAUUCAUUUAAAAAUACAAAUACAAAUUUGAAAAUUUACAUAGAAAUUACAAGACAUUUGUCGCAUUCUAAACAACCAAUUGCACGUUACAAUUGCAUAUUUAGAAAUAUUUAAAACGUUACAUUAGUGGGCCUCGAUAUUUAGCGCUAAUUAUACGUUCAAAUUAUUCAUUUAAAAAUACAAAUUUGAAAAUGUACGUAGAAAUUACAAGACAUUUGUCGCUUCCUGUACAGACAAUUACGCGUUUUAAUUACACGUUUAAAAUGUAUAUAUACAGAUUGGAAAUAAAUUGAAGAACGAGCGUAAAAAGCACAAGCUGCCUGUUGUAAACGUGCAAUGAAUGUGAGUCGCAAGAUUAUUUAAACAAUUCAACAUACGUUACAGUAACAAGCCUCAACGUUUAGAACCAAUUAAGACAACUAUGUUAAGGCUCUAUACUACUUUUUUAUCAGGUAUACGACCACAGUAAACGCCUUGUAAGUUUCAUAAACAUUUGCAAAUCGCAGAGAAUGAAAUUGAUAAGAAAUGGAAUUUAAAAAAGUUUCGUAUAAUACGCGCAAUAGGAAAUGUAUAAUAACAAUAAAUAAUACGUAUAAUAAUAUUGCAUGACACAAGUUGGAACACGUUCGCGAGUCACCGCGCGAAUUCAUGCGAACGUUUUGCUUCCUAUGUUCGGAUAAAUAAAAUCCUAAUAUCUGCGAAUUAUCGCCAUAUUAUUCAAAUUACAGUGAAUAAAAAGUAAUGACAUUAUUAGGAACAGGUCCGAAGCGAUGAGUAUCGUGUGGAACAGUGAGCCGCGUGUUUUGAAAAUUGGCCGGAAGUGGCGGCGCCUCGGCACCUUCGAGCGAAACGCUGAAAAGAGCAUAACGCGAGGGCAGAAGCCGUGGGAGAAAAGCAGGAUGAAACGAGUGGCCGACCUUGAAACGUAUCGUACGAGUUCCGUGUAAAUGGACGAUCUGUGCCCGGCCGAGCCAAAUAAGCGGUUUCGAGGUAUCGAUUUUAAUUUAACAUUAACGAGCUCGUUCAUUAAACUUUUGAUAAUGCAUUGCUCGAUAAAUUUCGCCAGGUGAACUCUCGCCCUCGUAACAAAUACGCGGGGUCACUAUUACGCGCCAGCUAUAAUUAUAAAAUACUUUUCGAAACGCGGGAAUAUUUCCGCUACAACUUUUCCGCGUUAACCUCGAACAACGAAAUUAAAUUCUCGUUAACGCCGUGGAUACAGCUCGAUCAAUUAAUCCCGAUUAAUAAAAGAAUAAUAGACGAAAAUGAGCGUUUUAUUCGAUGAAUUUCAUCUACUAGAAUUGUCGCGAAGAAUUAUUACGAUCGAUGAAACGAAUCGCGUCAGUGUAAAUCAUUGCCAUUAGAAAUUGUUCUCAGACAAGGAUGAGAAAUGUGCUGGCGUGUGUGUGUGAAUUUAAAAAAAAAAAUGGGAUUGCCAUGAAAUUUUAAACGUGGAACAGAGAACUGUGAUAAAGAAGGUCGGAGAAGAAACUGUGAAUCGCUUCGACUACGAAAUAAAUGUAUCAAUUAUUUCGUGGAUAAGAAAUGGAAUUUACGCAAUGAAAUUUUCAACGAUAAAUAAACGAACGACGAAUUAAACGAAUGCAGUGCUUCGAAAAAAGUAACUGGACCUCGCUUCGAUUAUGGAUUCGAUUGCCGUUAAUUGCACGCCAGAUAUUUCUCACGGCGACAAGAAGUAACAUUAAUGGAAAUAAAAUUGCACAUAUAAAUGUAUAAAUAAUCUGGCUAAUAUAUAAAGCGAAAAACUUGGCGUCGACCGUGGACUUAGUCGGCUAACGAUCAAAUCGGUGAACCGUUUUGCACCUCGUAUUCACGCGCAAUGGCCCGUUCGUGAGACCGACGACACCGGAAGUCGUCGACCAUUCGUACGACAAGGUGGAGACUCGUGGAAAGUUAACGAGCGUGCCACGACGUCGCUCCAUCUCCUCGCGUAGAUUUAUCGUAGAUUUCCGAUUUACAAGGCAAUUCGCGCUCACGCGUGCUGCAAUAAUAAACAUAGUUACUUGGCGAGUAGCGAUAGCAACAAUAACAGUAGAAACAGCAGCAGCAAUAAUAACACUUUGAAUUUCACGAGCGAUGGUAUUAACAAUUACAAUGGUAAAAAUAACGACGAUCGUCGUAACGAAUAACUGAUAACUUGCCUGUAACGAGCGUCGUUGUUAUAAUUGCGAAAUGAAGAUACGAUAAUAAAGGAAUAGAAUACGAAGAAAUUGCAAGUGGCGUUUAUGAUAAUUUCCGUAUAGUUGCGAUAUUUUCGUUCGACGAUAAACGGCAGCGCGUACGUUCUUGUAAGAUAAAUCCGUCCAAAUCUCACAUUUGUCGCUAUGAUUUCUAAGCGAAAAUAAAUUGGGAAAUUUAGUUCGCUUUCUUACUCGUUACGCAUCGAUUUUCCAUAUCGACCUUGUAGUUUCAAGUGUGACACAUUAUUCUAAUUUUAAUCGCCACUUAAUCUAUCAUUAAGUAGCUUAAACUUUCAUAACAAGUUGAGCCGAGAUUAAAUGUAACAUUGAAUACGAUAACAUAUUUCUAAGUAUUAGUUAAGUACCAGUUAAAUGCCACAUUCUUAAGAUUAACCUACAACUUCUGAAAAUGUACGCCACGUCCUUUCUCCUGGCUGUGAAAAUAAAUAGAGCUACAGACACACACACACACACACAUUAUCAUUAGAGUUAGGGGCGUUUAACAUUUGUUCCCGUGAAUCGGCCAUCCUUGUUACGUGCUAUAAAUGAUAUCUUACUGAUACAAACGUAAUUACUGCAGAGUUUAACGAGUCAUAGCGGUGAUGAGAUAAUCGAGAUGUUGAUGACGAUGAAUUUAGAUUCGAUAGCGAAUCCACGGUCAACGGGACGACGAAUGCGAUUUCUGCCACAGCCUGAGUCGAACUCGACCUACCGAUCCACGAUUCGGCUGUGUCUCAACGUACUUGUCCCCAGCACGAGUAGAACUUGUCUGACUGACCCUCAGUCCAAGUGGAACUGCCCUUGUGUACUCCUCCCCGUACCUCUCUGUACCCCUCGGGUCAAUCUUUGUUUUUAAGGAGAGCUAUUUAAUUGAUCCGUACCUCUGUUAGGUACAGUGAACGUGGCUACGUUCAGCGACCCGUUAUGUCACUUCGAGUCGAAGCCCACUGUCAUAAAUCUGGGGCACCCAUGCUCGCAUUAAAUCAUAAACAACUAUUUCUCGGUUUUAUUGUUUAAGCACAGCUAUGAUAAGAAGUCUGGACUAUAGUAUCGGGGACCUUGCCAAAUAUCCCAAAAGAAAGGCCCCGAUGUGCCUUCAUCCGCGACGUAUGUGUCGGAGUCAGGUUGGAAUUUUGGGGCGUUCGAUGAACCUUUGCUUACUUUACGGAUGUAGCUAAUGUUUAUCGGUACAAAUGUGGACACUGCAAGAGGCUGUGAGUAAUAGCGGCGAUAGGAUGGUCGAGAUGAUGGUGACAACGAAUUCAGGUUCGAUAACAAAUCCACGGUCCACGGAAUGACGAGUGCAAACGUGAUACACGAUUCGGCUAACUUUCUCAAUCAACAAUUCGUCCAACGACUAACUAACUCGUAAUCCAAAUGAAACUGCCCUUAUAUAUUCCUGUCCCCACUUCUCAAUCUUUGUUUUUAAGGAGAGUCAUACAAUCAUUCCAUACCUCUGUCAGGUACACGUCCCUCCCGUGACCCUGGCUACGUCUAGUGACCCGCUAUGUCACCUUGAACCCGAACCCAUCGUGAUAAAGCCAGAUUCGAACAUUAGAACUAUUUCUUAUUUUUAUUACUUAAGUGUAGCUAUAGUAAAAGUCUAGACUAGGGUAUUGGGGUUUCUUCCAAUAUUCCAUUCAGGAAAUCCCCAUGUUCUUUCAUCUCCGACAUAUAUAAUCCGUAAAAUUGUUAUCAUUCGCUGUACCCAUAGACUACGACGUGAAAUCUGACAAUUUUUUAGAAUUAUAGAUCUCGUUAGAUAUUCCUGCAAGCCGGUUGAAAAUUUCAUUUUGCAGCGGAAAUAUCGGCCAUAAAACUCGCAGCGAUCAUGCACCUUUUGCUCCAUCGCGUGAAUAAUACAACCUCGUGGAACAGCGAGCCUUUGUUUUUUCAAAUCACGCGUGAAUAUCGUUUUGCAGCGCUAGUUAAACGUUGCAGCGAAAACCACAGGCAAUGAAAUACGUAAAGAGCACAGCGUGUACUCGCGCGUCCAAUAAACUGUAUGUAAAAUUGCUGUACGUGCUGCGUUAUUUAUUUCGCACGAUUAUAGACGUAAUUGUACGGUAGUAAAUACGAGCGCUUGUUGAAAAAGCAAAGAAGCGGGUUGGCGCGGCUCUGUGCAAGGGGCGGAAAAGAAAGCGAUACUCGACGAUCACUUGCAGGAGCAACCUUGAAAACUCCGCUUCGGAGAAACCACCGUGGAAAAGUCACGGGAACGUUGCACGGGGUUAACGGGGGACGAAGAGAGAAGUAAUUAUUGCUAUACAAUGCACGGAUCUUUGAUCUCUUUGGAAAGGAAACCGUAACAACCAGGUAAAACUGUACGCCAAAGUAUUUGGAGAUUUAGCAUGGCAAGCUUUAUGCUCGUAUCGUGUGCUUUAUGUUGAAUACUUUGAAAUUUCCUUGCGACUGGCUUGAUCCUAUUGAUAAAGUUUGAAAACGAUGUAAAAUUGUGUACGUAGAAAUUGCAAGGUAUUUAUUGCACAUGUAUAUUUGAUAAAAAAUUAGUAUACCGAGUGAACGGCAGUUUUAAGCAGCUCGUAACAGAUCAAUGAAAUUUGAAAAAUUCGUAAAAGGUUUCUAGAAGCGAGCCUAUGUAUAUCAGGUCUAUCCUGAAAGCUGAUAUUAUAUUCCACUUCAGGUUCUUCUUUUUCAGAUUAAUCAGUUCUUUUGUACGUGCGAUUGAUGUAAGUGAGAGUGUUUGCCGUUAGAAGCUGCUCCUUCUGUCAGAGUUCUCUUGUAUUGUUUAGCGUGAAUGAAAUCAAGUAAAUUAAUUAUUAUUGAAAAGAAAGAAGAAAA